rnacentral:lncRNA from 1 species
CUUUAGCGAGGCAGUCUCGGGCGCCCAGCUGUCAGAGCUGUCAGCCUGCUUAAACAGGGGAAAAUGGUACAGGCAGAGCUGGUCUGGUAUCAGGAAAAAGGCUGCCUACGAUAAUCCACUGCAGGACCCUAAAAGUCUCAACCUUAGGGCCCCCUCGGACCGUCUCCAAUGUCGGGUCCCGCUGGAGAAGGAGGCAUUUCGAGAGUGUUUGAAAUACUCUAAGACGUUUUGGAGCUCUUGGGGCCUAUAAUGAAGAAACAUAUAUCCUGCGAUGAAAACUUGAAACAAGCUACCUGUGAAAAUGCUUUGCAAUGUGUAGAUUCAUCUGACAGUUAAACCUUUGUUUUGAUUCAACAGGUUAGAAACACUGUUUUCAUAUAAUCUAUGAAGGGACAUUUCGGUGCCCAUUGAGGAUUAUAGUACAAAACCAAAUAUUACGCAAUUAAAACUACAAACAAGCUAUUGGGGAAAAUGCUUUGCGAUGUGAAGAUUUGUCUCACAGAGGUAAACCCUUACUUACAUACAGCAGGUUGGAAACACACUUUUUGA